rnacentral:rRNA from 1 species
GACGAACCGUCCAAACGUUAUUCGGAAUCACUGGGCUUACAGAGUUCGUAGGCGGUCUGGAAAGUUGGGUGUGAAAUCCCUCGGCUCAACCGAGGAACUGCGCUUGAAACUACCAGACUCGAGGGAGAUAGAGGAAAGCGGAACUGAUGGUGGAGCGGUGAAAUGCGUUGAUAUCAUCAGGAACACCGGUGGCGAAGGCGGCUUUCUGGGCCUUACCUGACGCUGAGGAACGAAAGCCAGGGGAGCGAACGGG